rnacentral:rRNA from 1 species
AUUGAACGCUGGCGGCAGGCUUAACACAUGCAAGUCGAGCGGAGAUGAGGUGCUUGCACCUUAUCUUAGCGGCGGACGGGUGAGUAAUGCUUAGGAAUCUGCCUAUUAGUGGGGGACAACAUUCCGAAAGGAAUGCUAAUACCGCAUACGUCCUACGGGAGAAAGCAGGGGAUCUUCGGACCUUGCGCUAAUAGAUGAGCCUAAGUCGGAUGUAGCUAGGUGGUGGGGUAAAGGCCUACCAAGGCGACGAUCUGUAGCGGGUCUGAGAGGAUGAUGCGCCACACUGGGACUGAGACACGGCCCAGACUCCUACGGGAGGCAGCAGUGGGGAAUAUUGGACAAUGGGCGCAAGCCUGAUCCAGCCAUGCCGCGUGUGUGAAGCAGGCCUUAUGGUUGUAAAGCACUUUAAGCGAGGAGGAGGCUACUUUAGUUAAUACCUAGAGAUAGUGGACGUUACUCGCAGAAUAAGCACCGGCUAACUCUGUGCCAGCCGCCGCCGUAA